rnacentral:hammerhead_ribozyme from 1 species
GUCCCGCUGACGAGUCCCAAAUAAGACGAAAUGCGCAUCCUAGAU